rnacentral:sRNA from 12 species
UUGAAAAGAAAACAAAAUGAAAGAAAUUCAUUUUUAAUAAAUGUUUUCGACAAAUGGCUGCCGACCGGAGGGAGGGCAGUACAUCUU